GACGAACGCUGGCGGCGUGCUUAACACAUGCAAGUCGAACGGAAAGGCCCUGCUUUUGUGGGGUGCUCGUGUGGCGAACGGGUGAGUAACACGUGAGUAACCUGCCCUUGACUUUGGGAUAACUUCAGGAAACUGGGGCUAAUACCGGAUAGGAGCUCCUGCUGCAUGGUGGGGGUUGGAAAGUUUCGGCGGUUGGGGAUGUACUCGCGGCUUAUCAGCUUGUUGGUGGGGUAGUGGCUUACCAAGGCUUUGACGGGUAGCCGGCCUGAGAGGGUGACCGGCCACAUUGGGACUGAGAUACGGCCCAGACUCCUACGGGAGGCAGAAGUGGGGAAUAUUGCACAAUGGGCGGAAGCCUGAUGCAGCAACGCCGCGUGCGGGAUGACGGCCUUCGGGUUGUAAACCGCUUUCGCCUGUGACGAAGCGUGAGUGACGGUAAUGGGUAAAGAAGCACCGGCUAACUACGUG
rnacentral:rRNA from 1 species